rnacentral:rRNA from 1 species
UGGCGGCGUGCGUAACACAUGCAAGUCGAACGGAAAAUUUCAAUAAGAUUACUUAGCGAAAUUUUUAGUGGCGGACGGGUGAGUAACGCGUGGGUAACCUACCCAUAAAUCCGGGACAACCCUUGGAAACGAGGGCUAAUACCGAAUAAUCUUAGAGCUUGGCAUCAAGCUUUAAGGAAAGGUGGCCUCUGAAGAUGCUACCGAUUAUGGAUGGACCCGCGUCUGAUUAGCUAGUUGGUGGGGUAAAGGCCUACCAAGGCGACGAUCAGUAGCCGGCCUGAGAGGGUGAACGGCCACACUGGGACUGAGACACGGCCCAGACUCCUACGGGAGGCAGCAGUGGGGAAUCUUCCGCAAUGGACGAAAGUCUGACGGAGCAACGCCGCGUGUAUGAUGAAGGUCUUCGGAUUGUAAAGUACUGUCUUUGGGGAAGAAUGACUGAUUUGAAAAUAUUGAGUCAGUAUGACGGUACCCAAGGAGGAAGCCCCGGCUAACUACGUGCCAGCAGCCGCGGUAAUACGUAGGGGGCAAGCGUNGUCCGGAAUUAUUGGGCGUAAAGGGCGCGUAGGCGGAUCAUUAAGUCCGGUGUGACAGAUCAGGGCUCAACCCUGAGAGUGCAUCGGAAACUGGGGAUCUUGAGGACAGGAAAGGAAAGUGGA